rnacentral:rRNA from 1 species
UACAGAGGGGGCGAGCGUUGUUCGGAAUUACUGGGCGUAAAGGGCGCGUAGGCGGCCCGCUAAGUCGAACGUGAAAUCCCCAGGCUCAACCUGGGAACUGCGUCCGAUACUGGCAGGCUUGAAUCCGGGAGAGGGAUGCGGAAUUCCAGGUGUAGCGGUGAAAUGCGUAGAUAUCUGGAGGAACACCGGUGGCGAAGGCGGCAUCCUGGGCCGUACUGACGCUGAGGAGCGAAAGCGUGGGGAGCGAACCGG